GGAUUUUCGGUUGGAUUUUUGGGUGGUUGGCAAAGCAAAAGGUCGCACGCAGUUCAAAUAAAAAUAAAAAGUUAAGAGGUAUAAGAGAAAAGUUGGAAAGAAGCUUUAGAUAUAUAGAUCUCAUAUAAUUUGGAAUUUUAUGCAAGGAAGCCAAUCGAAAUAAUAAUAGAUUGUUUUGCAUUAUUGUUGUUGGAUUGGGAGAGGAAAGGAUUUGGUGCCGGGCAACAAAAGUCGAUUUGGUGUUGCUGCAAUGAAGUGAUCAAGUUGCGAUUGGAAAGUGAACUGUGAUCGAUCGGUGGCAAACAAUCAGGUUGAAAUGAAUUUGUGGCGUAGUUUUGGCUUUGAAUGCAAUCAAAGGUUUUAACUGCCAAUAAGGUGUUUGGAAUGUUUUCAAUCAUGUUAGAAAAUAAAUUUUUACAAAAUAUGUUGCAUGAUUAAUGGUACUGUUAUUUUUUAAAACAUACUGAAGACUAUCCUUUUAAAAUUCAAACGUUUCCUCAGAUCUCACAUAUAAAUAUGUUGUUUUAAAAACUGUGUUGCUCUAACUUGUUCCACGUUCAGCUUACGAUUUACAGAAUUGAACAAACAAAACCAACUCUAUGCAUCAAAUAGAAAAAAGAAAAUGGAACAACAACCAGCAAGAGGAGCUGAGUCAAUUUUCACUUCAUUUGCCAGCACAAAAGCAACAGGGAAAAUUAUGAUGCAACAUUUGCGGCAUCGUGUCGAUGCGCUCCAAUUCGCAGCAUAAACAACAUCCAACUGCCGAGGAUGCAACAUGGAUUUCUGCUGCAGCAGCAGAUGAUGGAUGUGGCAUGCCACAUGCUAUUGCUGCGUUGAAAAUGAAAUGUACAAAAACUGAAAUGGGGGGAGGAAGUGCAGAAAUUUGUCAAUUACGCUGGGGCAAAUUAAUCUCCUUAAAUAGGCCAAAAACGAACAUUUCCUUUUGAUUUUGUUUGAUCUGUGACAGUGUGU